GACGAACCGAGCGAACGUUAUUCGGAAUCACUGGGCUUAAAGGGCGCGUAGGCGGGCGAUCAAGUCAGGGGUGAAAGCCCCCAGCUCAACUGGGGAAGUGCCUUUGAUACUGGUCGUCUCGAGGGAGGUAGGGGCGUGCGGAACUUCCGGUGGAGCGGUGAAAUGCGUAGAUAUCGGAAGGAACAUCGGUGGCGAAAGCGGCGCGCUGGACCUCUUCUGACGCUGAGGCGCGAAAGCCAGGGGAGCGAACGGG
rnacentral:rRNA from 1 species